rnacentral:lncRNA from 1 species
GACUAAGGAAUUACUGCUAUAAAUAGAAACUGUCAACUUAGUUAUCAGUGUGCAUUUUGAAUGAAAGGAUCCAUAGCUUUUAUUUCUUCUCAGUCCUUUUUCUUCUAGAUAGUGGAGAAUGGGGGAAAAAUAAAUGAUUUAAUAAUGCAACUUUUUGUGAGUAUGUGAAAAUAAAUAUGAAUGCCUUUGUUACAGUGAGGUUUUUACAUUAUAGAUGGAUUUCAUAUUCUUUGAAAUAAAAAUUUGUGCAAAAUUUAAAUUGCAAAAAUUAUCCUGUUAGCAGAGCAGAUUUAUAAUGCUCCAACAUUAUUGAAAAUCUUGCACUGGAUACUUACCUGACUCUGCAAGUUUUUUCUCUAAAACUGAGAUGAUACAAAGAAGGUUAACAUGACUCAGAAUUUGGGAUUUCCCAUAUCAGCACUGGAAGCUGUCUUCUUAUACAAUCUUGAAUGGCAAUUGUGAAGCAGUGGCAAUAACCGUAGAUGAGGAGCUAGGUAACCUGAAUUUUCAAGUAGACUUUGUUGUUUUCAAGUUUCAGAACUCCAGUGUAAAUAAUUUUUUUUAAAUGAGAGGUAUUAUGUUAAAUACUGCAUGUACAUUAUCUUAAUUCUUACAGUAUAAGUUAGGCAUUAUCUCCAGUUUAUAGAUUAAGAAACCAAGGCUUAGUAAAGUUAAGCAGCUUACCCAAGAUUACACAGCCAGGAAAUACAGAGUUGAAAUUCAUACCCAGGGAAUAUUUGGCUCCAAGGCAAAUUCUUCCCUGUAUUCUCUGUAAAGUACCAUGUACUUGUGGUGAGGAUUUUUGUUGUUAUUUAGUCACUCAUCAUGCCAUCCAACCAUCUCAUCCUCUGUUGUCCCCUUCUCCUUCUGCCC